rnacentral:rRNA from 1 species
ACGAACGCUGGCGGGUGUGCUUCACACAUGCAAGUCGAACGAGGGGUAGCAAUACCUAGUGGCGGACGGGUGAGUAACGCGUGGGAAUCUGCCUUUUAGGGCGGGGGAUAGCAGACCGAAAGGUCUAUUAAUACCCCAUAUGUGUAUGUUUCGACAGAGAUAUACAUGAAAGGAGUAAUCCGCCCUGUAGAUGAGCCCGCGUCCGAUUAGCUAGUUGGUAGGGUAAAGGCCUACCAAGGCUUCGAUCGGUAGGUGGUCUGAGAGGAUGAUCACCCACAAUGGGACUGAGACACGGCCCAUACUCCUACGGGAGGCAGCAGUGGGGAAUUUUUGUGCAAUGGGCGAAAGCCUGACACAGCGACAACCGCGUGAGCGAAGAAGCCCUUUGGGGUGUAAAGCUCUGUCAGCUGGAACGAAAAAAAUGACGGUACCAGCAGAGGAAGCAUCGGCUAACUACGUGCCAGCAGCCGCGGUAAGGACGUAGGAUGCAAGCGUUGUCCGGAUUUAUUGGGCGUAAAGAGUUUCGUAGGUGGUUCGUUAAGUCUGAUGUUAAAGAUCGGGGGCCCAACCCCCGGGAGUGGCAUUGGAUACUGGGCGGACUGGAGUGCAGUAGAGGCAAGGCGGAAUUCCCAGUGUAGCGGUUGAAAUGCGUAGAUAUUGGGAAGAACACCAGUGGCGUAAGCGGCUUGCUGGGCUGUAACUGACGCUGAGGAACGAAAGCCAGGGGAGGCGAAUGGGAUUAGAUACCCCAGUAGUCCUGGCCGUAAACGAUGGAUACUUAGGCGUAGCGGGUAUCGACCCCUGCUGUGCCGCAGCAAACGCGAUAAGUAUCCCCGCCUGAGUAGUACGGGCCGCAAGGUUGAAACUCAAAGGAAUUGACGGGGGGCCCGCACAAGCGGUGGAAAACAUGUGGUUUAUAAUUCGAAGCAACGCGAAGAAACCUUACCAAGGGCUUGACAUCUGGGGAAUCUUCCGGAAACGGAGGAGUGCUCGCAAGAGAAACCCCAAGACAGGUGGUGCAUGGCUGUCGUCAGCUCGUGUCGUGAGAUGUUGGGGUUUAAGUCCCGCAACGAGCGCAAACCCUCGUUGUUAGUUGCCAUCAGGUAAUGCUGGGCACUCUAGCGAGACUUGCCGGUGACAAACCGGAGGAAGGUGGGGACGACGUCCAAGUCAUCAUGCCCCUUAUUGCCUUGGGCUACACACGUGUUACAAAUGGCUGGGACAAUGUUGAUGCAAAGCGGCAAACGCCGAGCGAAUCACCAAACCCAGUCUCAGUUCAGAUCGUAGGCUUGCAACCUCGCCUGCGUGAAGUCGGAAUCGCUAGUAACCGCCAAUCAGCACGUGGCGGGUGAAUACGUUCCCGGGCCUCGUACACACCGCCCGUCACGUCAUGGGGAGCUGGUUCACGCCCGAAGUCGGUGCGCCAAACCGUAAGGAGGUAGCCGCCUAAGGCAGGGGGCCGGUGACUGGGACG